AGGAGCAGCCCUGGAGCUGUCGCUGCAUGAACAGAUGGGUCUGGCAGCAGCCAGCAGCUCCCCCACAGUCCUCUUAUUCCCUCCUGCAUUGCCUCCCCCAUCCGUCUCCCUUCUCUCUGUUUCUCUGCCCCUGAUCAAAUCAAACAGCACUUUGAGGUACCUGAAUGAAAACAUCAAAUAGAUAGAGUACCGGUAUCAAAAACUCCUGCAGUGAGAUUCUGGUUUUGUAUUUAAAUCAGCUGUACCUCACUGGGAGGUUUGCACAAAGCUCUUGCCUGUAGGAUCCUUGGAUUGUGGGGCUUCUAGCCCCACAAAAUCAGACCAUCUUGUCACAUAAACAGCCCUCUUCCAAGCAUGGCACCUUUACUUAGGAGAUCUAGGAACAGACAGAGAAACCAAAGCUUCACAUGAACCAUGAAAGGAAGGAUAGCGAAGUUCUGCUCUGGUUCCACUGUAGCAAGGACCAAGGGUGUGUAGUGAAUCACCAGAGCACCUGUAGCCUUCUCUCCUGAUGUCCUCUACCCUCGAUCUAUACUUUGGAGAACAAGGAACUUUUCAGCAAGACAUCUCAGAGCUGCCUUCCUACUUGAAGGUAGCAAAAUAGUUCAAUGUAAAAAGAAGUGUUUUGUCCAACCUUCCUACCCUCCUGUACAGCUUUGCAGCACAAAUCCAGACAUUGUAAGUGUGCUUGCAGAGGUAAGUGAUAACUUCACAAACACAGACUGGAAGUAUUGCUGCAAAAAUCACAUAAGAUUGUACAUUAAAAGUGGGAGAGACAAUGCAGAGGGUGGUUCAG
rnacentral:lncRNA from 1 species